GACGGACAAAACACCACAGCUCCGCAAGAGCCGAGCGCAUCGAUCAUGCCCCGCUUUACCUUUUGAUCAGUGAUUACCAGUGAAUGACUCCUGCGCUGCAGCGGACACAGUUCAGCAGCAACACCGUGUGUUUAUUGACAUUAGUCCCGAUGAGGUCGACAUAGACGUUUUUAAAUGGCGGGAGGAGAAAUUUGACGCUUCGCUCAACCGGUUUGCUUUCUGGUGCGUAAUUGAUUCGAGUGGAGAACCCUGAUCUGCAGCACUAGUUUUGGCGCAGUCUCCACGGAGCCCUUUCCUCAGGGAGGGGGAAGGCUGCAGGUUUUCAACUUCCUACCCUUUGUUGCUUCAGGACGUCCCGUACACCGGCCAGGCAGUGCCCCUUCAUAUCACUCCAGAGUGCUUCACUCAAGAGAUCAAUGAUAAUGGAAGACAAACGCAAGAAGCGGAGCCCAAAGGUGUCUCUCCCCCAGCCCCCUCCUCCCCCCAUCAACCCACGCAAACUCUCCGUCCUGCCCGCCAGCAAAAGUGCCACCUUCUCUCUCGGCCUGCCACAGCCCCCCUCCCCCAAGAACCGAGGCAAGUUUAAGAGGUCCAUAGGAGCGCCAGGACAGCCCAAAGAGGUGUUCACAGCUGUUCUCGCUCCACCGAAGACCACCAGGCCCCACAAGGAGAAGCCCAGGGCCCCCCAGCCUGCAGGGCCCAGUCGAGUAGUCCAGUCUUCCCCCCUGCAGCACUCGUUUCUCACGGAUGUCUCAGAUGUGAGAGAGAUGGAGGGAGGCCUCCUCAACCUCCUCAAUGACUUCCACUCAGGCAAACUACAGGCUUUCGGUAAGGUGUGCUCCUUUGAGCAACUGGAGCAUGUGCGUGAGAUGCAGGAGAAGCUGGCACGACUGCACUUCAGCCUCGACAGCCACGUGGAGGAGCUUUCAGAGGACCAGAGGAAGUGUGCCUCCGACCACAACCUGGAGCACCUGCUAUGCAACGUAAGCAAUGCAUGCCAAAACUGCCCACUAAAUGACAAUAAAUCGUGUUACAUUGUCAUCUGUCAUGGUGGACAUUUACUAUACAUCAGUAAAUCUCUCUUAGUUAUAUUUCUCCAAUUUCUUAAAUGCACUUUGAUGGAUUUUAAUGAGUGUUUCAGAGCAUCAUCAGGGCAUGUCCCAGUCUCAACUCUGGCCAAGGCCAAACACUUCAUUCACCCUUCAAAAACAAUAAUACAAAUGAAAACCUGGAGAAAAUUAAAUGGUUAUGAGCACUACAGUUAUUAACUGUCAAUAAAGUGUCAUUGAACCUGUCAAUCAGGGGAAUAGUUAAAUACUGUAAUAUGCUUUCUUUUUGUUGUUGUUCUUUUAAAGAGCGAGAGUGUUAACAAGUCAAGGUCAUGACAUUCAGGAUAUCAAAAGCACCAAAUCUAUUUUUUCCUUCCUUUCACUCUUCACAGCUGUGAACCUUUCAUCAAAGCAGAUAAGCCAGUCUGAGAUUAGUCAUGUAAGCAGUGUGGACAUCGUUGAACGCUCUGCCGAGUUUCUUGUACGUGUUGAAUGUUGAUUAUUAUUAUCCAGCACAAACAGCUCGGUGUCGGCCAAGAAUGCCUUGAAAGAGUGUCUAUUGUUAGCCUGUCGUGUGGCGCUGGUUACCCACGCCUGUGGCUGCUAUGUUCGCUGAGGGGAAGUUGCGGUGCCGUGUGUGAGAAAAGGCCCUAAGCUUGUUUACGGAGACUGCUGCCUGGAAUCCUUGCUAGCUGUAGCGGCGGAGCAGAAGGGAAGUGCUUUUGUAAACAUGGUCCGACGAUGGGAGUUUAUUCAGAUAGAGUGCACACACUCACACACUAAUUUGGGCUGUUAUUUUCAUCGCACCUCUCACGCCUUUUGUCCGUUUGUUCCUGCAGCUGGAGGAACUCAGCACCUCGAUACAAAAGCUCCACUUGGCUGAGAACCAGGACCUGACCAAGACAUCUGCUCCCUAACAAAGUGAGGUGCGGAGGAUGGCGACCACACACUCAUCUUCUCCCAACAUCUAACCAGUCCAGGUUGCCAUCACAUUGAUCCAGCUGCCUUAGUAACAGAAUGGAAAGAUCCACAGGAGGAGGAGCUAUCAUUUUUUUUCCAUUUGGUUGGUGGAGUAGAGGGAACAAUGUAGUGACUCAAAGCAGCUGAGCAUUAAAUGAACACUCAACCAAAACCAUAAUCCCCUCAGUUAUGGCACAAUAAAUGCUCAGUUGUGUUCGAUGAAAUGUUGCGGCCAAGUUUUUAGCAUGUUCUUGGCACAAAAUCGUUACGUCAUUCUGAACAAAUGAUUGAAUCCAAGUGCAGCUUUGGUUCUCUCGGUCGCUAAAGCAAAAUUCAUGACCCUUUCAAGAAGUUUGAUUCCACAGUAUGCCUUGUCUUUUGCAUCGUUUCAGAAGGUACACCUCUGUUAACAAACUUAAGACAUUUUAGCACUUGUCGACAACACCACUGUGGUUAGCUCAGAACUUUAAAAGGGAGUUUUCACUUUUGCUCUUAUUCUGAAUGCACUCCCUUGUUUUUAUAGCUUUGCUUUUAAAGUUUAAUACUGAGAAAGAAAGACUGGAUUUAAUAGAAGCUCGUUGAAUCUUUGAUACAUUUUAAAGGGUCUAUGUGAAAAGAUACAAAAUGUAUGUUUGAUGCAUGUAAAAUGGUUUAUAUGAUUUGCCGAUGUGCAAUCCAGCAAUUGUGUAUGUUGACACAUUUUGUGAGUACUUUAUCAGGGUUGCCCUUCUACUGAAAUGCUUUAAAUUGACCUACUGUCACAUGUCUGAUACUGUGUUGUUGGAUAUCAUAUUCAAAGAGUAUUGUGUCUGGAAGAAGUCUCUGUACAGUACAAUUUCAAAAUGGCAGCUACUUUUAUUAUUAAAAGUUUAGGGGGUGAGAUUCUGA